rnacentral:rRNA from 1 species
AUUGAACGCUGGCGGCAUGCCUUACACAUGCAAGUCGAACGGUAACGGGCCUUCGGGUGCCGACGAGUGGCGAACGGGUGAGUAAUGUAUCGGAACGUACCUUUCAGUGGGGGAUAACGUAGCGAAAGUUACGCUAAUACCGCAUAUUCUGUGAGCAGGAAAGCAGGAGAUCGCAAGACCUUGCGCUGAUUGAGCGGCCGAUAUCAGAUUAGCUAGUUGGUGAGGUAAAGGCUCACCAAGGCGACGAUCUGUAGCGGGUCUGAGAGGAUGAUCCGCCACACUGGAACUGAGACACGGUCCAGACUCCUACGGGAGGCAGCAGUGGGGAAUUAUGGACAAUGGGGGCAACCCUGAUCCAGCCAUGCCGCGUGAGUGAAGAAGGCCUUCGGGUUGUAAAGCUCUUUCGGCCGGGAAGAAAUCGUAUCAGCUAAUACCUGGUGCGGAUGACGGUACCGGCAUAAGAAGCACCGGCUAACUACGUGCCAGCAGCCGCCGUAAAAC